UCUUCUCGUCCUCUAAUAAAAUUUAAGCUUUUUAACUCAAAAAUUAAAUUCAAUAAUUAAUAAUUAUAAGACAGUCUUAAUCUCUUCAAAUCAUUCAUUCCAGAUAUCGGGAGAGCGGGAGGAAGAAGGGAAAAUGGGUUGGGAAUUUUAUAUUCCGAAGAUUGUG